rnacentral:rRNA from 1 species
ACACGACUACAUUAGAUACCCGUGUAGUCCUGGCCGUAAACGAUGUGGACUUGGUGUUGGGAUGGCUCCGAGCUGCCCCAGUGCCGAAGGGAAGCUGUUAAGUCCACCGCCUGGGAAGUACGGUCGCAAGACUGAAACUUAAGGAAUUGCGGGGGAGCACCACAACGCGUGGAGCCUGCGGUUCAAUUGGAUUCAACGCCGGACAUUUCACCAGGGGCGACGGCAGAAUGAUGGCCAGGUUGAUGACCUUGCUUGACAAGCUG